rnacentral:rRNA from 1 species
CAGCAGCCGCGGGAAUACAGAGGAUGCAAGCGUUACCCGGAAUGAUUGGGUGUAAAGCGUCUGUAGGUGGCUUUUCAAGUCCGCCGUCAAAUCCCAGUGCUCAACCCUGGACAGGCGGUGGAAACUACCAAGCUGGAGUACGGAAGGGGCAGAGGGAAUUUCCAGUGGAGUGGUGAAAUGCGUUGAUAUCGGAAAGAACACCAACGACGAAAGCACUCUGCUGGGCCGACACUGACACUGAGAAACGAAGGCUAGGGGAGAAAAUGGGAUUAGAUACCCGGGUAGUCCCUGUCUCUUAUAC